GUGGGUAACCUACCUAUAAGACUGGAAUAACUCCGGGAAACCGGGGCUAAUGCCUGAUAACAUAUAGAACCGCAUGGUUCUAUAGUGAAAGAUGGUUUUGCUAUCACUUAUAGAUGGACCCGCGCCGUAUUAGCUAGUUGGUAAGGUAAUGGCUUACCAAGGCGACGAUACGUAGCCGACCUGAGAGGGUGAUCGGCCACACUGGAACUGAGACACGGUCCAGACUCCUACGGGAGGCAGCAGUAGGGAAUCUUCCGCAAUGGGCGAAAGCCUGACGGAGCAACGCCGCGUGAGUGAUGAAGGGUUUCGGCUCGUAAAACUCUGUUAUUAGGGAAGAACAUAUGUGUAAGUAACUGUGCACAUCUUGACGGUACCUAAUCAGAAAGCCACGGCUAACUACGUGCCAGCAGCCGCGGUAAUACGUAGGUGGCAAGCGUUAUCCGGAAUUAUUGGGCGUAAAGCGCGCGUAGGCGGUUUCUUAAGUCUGAUGUGAAAGCCCACGGCUCAACCGUGGAGGGUCAUUGGAAACUGGGAAACUUGAGUGCAGAAGAGGAAAGUGGAAUUCCAUGUGUAGCGGUGAAAAUGCGCAGAGAUAUGGAGGAACACCAGUGGCGAAGGCGACUUUCUGGUCUGU
rnacentral:rRNA from 1 species